CCUACGGGAGGCAGCAGUGAGGAAUAUUGGUCAAUGGACGGAAGUCUGAACCAGCCAUGCCGCGUGCAGGAAGACGGCCCUAUGAGUUGUAAACUGCUUUUGUACAAGGGUAAACCUCAAUACGUGUAUUCAGCUGAAAGUACCGUACGAAUAAGGAUCGGCUAACUCCGUGCCAGCAGCCGCGGUAAUACGGAGGAUCCAAGCGUUAUCCGGAUUUAUUGGGUUUAAAGGGUGCGUAGGCGGAUUGAUAAGUUAGAGGGUAAAUGGCCGAGCUUAACUCGGGAACUGCCUCUAAUGCUGUGGAUCUAGGGAGUAGAUGCGGUAGGCGGAAUGUAUGGUGUAGCGGUGAAAUGCUUAGAGAUCAUACAGAACACCGAUUGCGAAGGCAGCUUACCAAUCUAUAUCUGACGUUGAGGCACGAAAGCGUGGGGAGCAAACAGGAUUAGAUACCCGAGUAGUC
rnacentral:rRNA from 1 species